rnacentral:rRNA from 1 species
UACGUAGGGUGCGAGCGUUGUCCGGAAUUACUGGGCGUAAAGAGCUCGUAGGUGGUUUGUCGCGUUGUCCGUGAAAACUCACAACUCAAUUGUGGGCGUGCGGGCGAUACGGGCAGACUGGAGUACUGCAGGGGAGACUGGAAUUCCUGGUGUAGCGGUGGAAUGCGCAGAUAUCAGGAGGAACACCGGUGGCGAAGGCGGGGUCUCUGGGCAGUAACUGACGCUGAGGAGCGAAAGCGUGGGGAGCGAACAGG